UUUUAUUUUCAAAAAUAUAGUUUAAACUAAAAUGAUAAAUGUUAUCUGGGCAGUUACACUCUAUACUAUUUUGUUUAUUUGUUUUCUUGUUUUGUUAUUUUUGAUAUCAAGAAAUGAAUUGCUAAGUGAGUUUUUCUUUGCAAAAUUUCAAAAUGGUUGCAUCUUCUUUCCAACAUGGAUUAAAUGUUUUUUUGAGUAUUUGUUAUAUCAGAGAAAUCAUGUGCUUCCAGUUUGCUAUAUCUUGUUGUUAAGCAUUGGGUUUCUAUUUUAUACGUUCACAGCUUUCCCUUAUGUUUCAGAAUCAUAUUUGGGAAAAUCUCCAUAUGUACUUUUAGCAGUAAACUUGUUUUUUUACAUCAAAUGCUAUUAUAAUAAUCCAGGUAUCAUCACUCACAAAAAUCAAACUUUUUAUGCUCAAGCUUAUCCAUAUGAUGGUUUUAUGUACAAUGGGGAUGUUUGUAAAAGUUGUCUUAUUAAGAAACCAGCCAGAUCAAAGCAUUGCAGUACAAAAGUAAAAAUUCCCUCUCUUCUACUGUUGCGUUCUAAAAACACAUACAAUGCUUGCAAUUACACGGAGAGCAUUUUAUAUGCGAAGAUAAUCAUUCAUCUCUACCUACUUUUGACAAAGUUUUUUUCGAUGUGGUCUAUUUUUAUAUAUUUGAACAUAGCAGGUUGAACAUAAGAGGAAUUACCCGUUGCAAAACACAAUACCUGGCAUUAUGUUAGCAUUAUGUAUGUUAUGUUUGAAAACCCGGUAUAACAGGUAUUUGUAAUCAUUGUGUUGCAAGAUUUGAUCAUCAUUGCACAUGGGUAAAUAACUGCAUUGGUCAACAUAAUUAUAUAUACUUUUUCUUCUUCUUGUUGACUCUUGUAUCAAUCUGUGGCAUUUCUUCAUUUAUCACUGCUGUUGUGUUUUUACAUAUAAUUGAAAA
rnacentral:misc_RNA from 1 species